ensembl:lncRNA
UGGACAGGGACAGGGAGAUGAAACGCAAGACUGGGGAAACGGGGUCGACCAGGAGGAAGAGUUCUCUGUCAGCUGCUACACAGAAAGCCCUGGAGAGGAAGAGAGGAGUCAUGAUGAGGAAAACGGCAGAGAGGCAGAGGGGGACUGGAGCUGGGGUUGUAGCUGGCCAGAAGGGCCCUCUGGCUGGGGCAGAGGGGACUGGAGCUGGGGUUGUAGCUGGCCAGAAGGGCCCUCUGGCUGGGGCAGAGGGGACUGGAGCUGGGGUUGUAGCUGGUCAGAAGGGCCCUCUGGCUGGGGCAGAGGGGACUGGAGCUGGGGUUGUAGCUGGCCAGAAGGGCCCUCUGGCUGGGGCAGAGGGGAACGUCGUGAAACGGAUGCGUGGGUCUUUUCGACCCAACCCUCAAAGGGUCCCCAAGACCACCCAGUCCCGCAGAUCUCGGUGAAGAUGGUCUACUUAUCAGGCUAGACUGGACCGGAACUGGGUCGUGUUCAUUUUGGCACUGUGUAGCAAAACAUUUUGCACAGGAGAACAAAAACGAGUGUUUCUUAUUGGACAAGUUCAGGGUCAUAUUCAUUAGUGAAAAUGUUUUGGAAAACGACAACAAGCGUUUCUUAUUGGACAAGUUCAGGUAGUCCCUCCCUUGACCCAGGUAAUGAAUACUGUUGAUACCUAAAAAGAUAUACACACACAAUCCAUCUCACUUAACCCUAAAACAAUAGGCCCCUAUGGGCCCUGGUCAAAAGUAGUGCACUAUAAAGGGUUGCCAUUUGGGACGCUUCCAUAGUGUUUCUUGCUAACCAGUGGACAUCUGGAAAGUAUUGUAUUUUAACUGGAUUGUAUUCUACAAAGUCACAACUCACUGCAUUCAAAUGCAUCUUAGCUACUACAUGCUGUAUGUGACAAUCUAUUCUUACCACAAGACCUCAGGACUUGUUUUUGGACACACUGUUUGUCAUAUGUUAGUUUUACACAUUUUAUACUAUUUAUAUUUCCUAUACCAAUUUGUGGUACGGUAUUGGGAUGGCAAUGCAACCAAAGCCCAGAAAACCCAAGUCUAUAUUUGAAGGUCUGUUCUGAGUGUUCAUCUUUCCUACUGUUUUUGUUCUAAAUUAUUUAGAAGUGUUUUUUAAUAAAUGUUUUUUUAAAUAAAAAAUGUACUUGUCAGGUUGGUUUAAUGAAAACUGAACAAAAAUAUAAACACAACAUUCAACAAUUAAAGAUAUUACUGAGUUAA